UGGGGAAUAUUGCACAAUGGGCGCAAGCCUGAUGCAGCCAUGCCGCGUGUAUGAAGAAGGCCUUCGGGUUGUAAAGUACUUUCAGCGGGGAGGAAGGGAGUAAAGUUAAUACCUUUGCUCAUUGACGUUACCCGCAGAAGAAGCACCGGCUAACUCCGUGCCAGCAGCCGCGGUAAUACGGAGGGUGCAAGCGUUAAUCGGAAUUACUGGGCGUAAAGCGCACGCAGGCGGGUUGUUAAGUCAGAUGUGAAAUCCCCGGGCUCAACCUGGGAACUGCAUCUUAUACUGGCAUGCUUGAGUCUCGUAGAGGGGGGUAGAAUGCCACGUGUAGCGGUGAAAUGCGUAGAGAUCGGGAAGAAUACCGGUGGCGAAGACGGCCCCCUGGACGAAGACUGACGCUCAGGUGCGAAAGCGUGGGGAGCAAACAGG
rnacentral:rRNA from 1 species